rnacentral:rRNA from 1 species
CGUAGGGUGCGAGCGUUAAUCGGAAUUACUGGGCGUAAAGCGUGCGUAGGCGGUUCGUUAAGUCAGCUGUGAAGGCCCCGGGCUCAACCUGGGAACUGCGGUUGAAACUGGCGAACUAGAAUCUGGCAGAGGGGGUGGAAUUCCACGUGUAGCAGUGAAAUGCGUAGAGAUGUGGAGGAACACCGAUGGCGAAGGCAGCCCCCUGGGCUGAGAUUGACGCUCAGGCACGAAAGCGUGGGGAGCAAACAGGAUUAGAUACCCUGGUAGUCCACGCCCUAAACGAUGUCAACUAGGUGUUGGAGGAGCAAUCCUUUGGUACCGCAGCUAACGCGUGAAGUUGACCGCCUGGGGAGUACGGUCGCAAGAUUA